rnacentral:rRNA from 1 species
GAUGAACGCUGGCGGCGUGCCCAAUACAUGCAAGUCGAGCGAACGGACGAGAAGCUUGCUUCUCUGAUGUUAGCGGCGGACGGGUGAGUAACACGUGGAUAACCUACCUAUAAGACUGGGAUAACUUCGGGAAACCGUAGCUAAUACCGGAUAAUAUUUUGAACCGCAUGGUUCAAAAGUGAAAGACGGUCUUGCUGUCACUUAUAGAUGGAUCCGCGCUGCAUUAGCUAGUUGGUAAGGUAACGGCUUACCAAGGCAACGAUGCAUAGCCGACCUGAGAGGGUGAUCGGCCACACUGGAACUGAGACACGGUCCAGACUCCUACGGGAGGCAGCAGUAGGGAAUCUUCCGCAAUGGGCGAAAGCCUGACGGAGCAACGCCGCGUGAGUGAUGAAGGUCUUCGGAUCGUAAAACUCUGUUAUUAGGGAAGAACAUAUGUGUAAGUAACUGUGCACAUCUUGACGGUACCUAAUCAGAAAGCCACGGCUAACUACGUG